rnacentral:rRNA from 1 species
AAGCGGUGGAGCAUGUGUUAAUUCGAAGCAACGCGAAGAACCUUACCAGGUCUUGACAUCCCUGACACCAAGAGAUUGGGCGUUCCCCUUCGGGGGACAGGGUGACAGGUGGUGCAUGGUUGUCGUCAGCUCGUGUCGUGAGAUGUUGGGUUAAGUCCCGCAACGAGCGCAACCCUCGCCUCUAGUUGCCAGCAUUCGGUUGGGCACUCUAGAGGGACUGCCGGCGACAAGUCGGAGGAAGUGGGAUGACGUCAAAUCAUCAUGCCCCUUAUGACCUGGGCUACACACGUGCUACAAUGGGCGGUACAAAGGGCUGCGAACCCGCGAGGGGGAGCGAAUCCCAAAAAGCCGCUCUCAGUUCGGAUUGCAGGCUGCAACUCGCCUGCAUGAAGCCGGAAUCGCUAGUAAUCGCGGAUCAGCAUGCCGCGGUGAAUACGUUCCCGGGCCUU